rnacentral:rRNA from 1 species
UACGUAGGGGGCUAGCGUUGUCCGGAAUCAUUGGGCGUAAAGCGCGCGUAGGCGGCCCUGUGAGUCCGCUGUAAAAGUCAAAGGCUCAACCUUUGAAUGCCGGUGGAUACUGCAGGGCUAGAGUCCGGAAGAGGCGAGUGGAAUUCCUGGUGUAGCGGUGGAAUGCGCAGAUAUCAGGAGGAACACCAACGGCGAAGGCAGCUCGCUGGGACGGUACUGACGCUGAGGCGCGAAAGCGUGGGGAGCGAACAGG